UAACAAAGGAGUCGUUGUUGUUAGACAUCCUUACAUUGGAUUUGCUAGAAUGGAAGAAAUAAAUGAGGCUAAUUCUCGAGAGCCGCCCAAAUUUACAGUAGCUGAGGGUUGCUAUUCAUGAAGCAGUGGAGCAACAAACUAUUUUCAUUGUUAAGGCAGGAAUAACAACAGUCCUUGAUUCAAGAACCUCGGUACUUGCUGCGGCUAAAUCUCCUUCUGGAAGCUAUGAUGAUCUCAAGGUCUAUAUAAUUCCUUUCAAUUGUUUUGAUGUUAUUUUUUAGUUCAAGAACCUCUAUGCUCGCAGCAGCUAACCUUCUCUUUGGAAGCUAUGAUGAUCUCAAGGAUUUGAAUUGGCAGUGUGUGGUUUCCUACUUAUUUAUAAAAGCUUGAGGAAUGAAUAACUUCUAUCGACUUAACGCUGUACUGUUCCAAUUUUGAAGAGUCAUACAGUCUGAUGUUCGAUAAUUUAGCGGGUGGAAGAUUUCAAUAUGAUGAAGAGUUGCGGAAAUUAUUUGAAGACUUUUAUUCGAUAGGAUUGGUUAUAUAGUGACAUUAGCUAUUUAGUUCAAGACAAUAUAGGUUUAUUUUUUAAAUUGUUGUGUGACGUUAAUAUUUUAGAUAAGUACUUCGUUUUGUUUGUUAAGAUUUAAUGAGAUAUAUUUUAUGAAUUAAUAG